UGCAGUCGGANGGUAGCACANANGANCUUGCUCCUCGGGUGANNAGUGGCAGAGGGGUGANUAAUGUCUGGGGAUCUGCCCGAUAGAGGGGGAUAACCACUGGAAACGGUGGCUAAUACCGCAUAACNUCNCNAGACCAAAGAGGGGGACCUUCGGGCCUCUCACUAUCNGAUGAACCCANAGGGGAUUAGCUNGUANGCGGGGUAACGGCCCACCUACGCNACNAUCCCUANCGGGUCUGANAAGAUGACCNNCCACNCUGGAACUGANACACGGUCCACACUCCUAGGGGANGCANCUGUGGGGAAUAUUGCACAGUGGGCGCACGCCUGAUGCANCCAUGCCGCGUGUAAGAANAGNGCCUUCGGGUUGUAAANUACUUUCAGCGGGGAAGAAGGCNAUGUGGUUAAUANCCNUGUCNAUUGACNUUACCCGCAAAANAANCACCGGCUAACUCCGUGCCNNCNNCCGCNGUAAUACAGAGGGUGCAAGCUUUAAUCNNAAUUACUGGGCNGUAAAGCGCACGCAGCGCGGUCUGUUAACUCAGAUGUGAAAUCCCCGGGCUUNANCCUGGGAACUGCAUUUGAAACUGGCAGCGCUUGAGUCUCGUAGAGGGGGGUAGAAUUCCAGGUGUAGCGGUGAAAUGCGUAGAGAUCUGGAAGAAUACCGGUGGCGAAGGCGGCCCCCUGGAAGAAGACUGACGCUCAGGUGCGAAANGCGUGGGGAGCAAACAGNGAUUAGAUACCCUGGUAGUCCACGCCGUAAACGAUGUCGACUUGGAGGUUGUUCCCUUGAGGAGUGGCUUCCGGAGCUAACGCGUUAAGUCGACCGCCUGGGGAGUACGGCCGCAAGGUUAAAACUCAAAUGAAUUGACGGGGGCCCGCACAAGCGGUGGAGCAUGUGGUUUAAUUCGAUGCAACGCGAAGAACCUUACCUACUCUUGACAUCCACGGAAUUCGGCAGAGAUGCCUUAGUGCCUUCGGGAACCGUGAGACAGGUGCUGCAUGGCUGUCGUCAGCUCGUGUUGUGAAAUGUUGGGUUAAGUCCCGCAACGAGCGCAACCCUUAUCCUUUGUUGCCAGCGAUUCGGUCGGGAACUCAAAGGAGACUGCCGGUGAUAAACCGGAGGAAGGUGGGGAUGACGUCAAGUCAUCAUGGCCCUUACGAGUAGGGCUACACACGUGCUACAAUGGCGCAUACAAAGAGAAGCGACCUCGCGAGAGCAAGCGGACCUCAUAAAGUGCGUCGUAGUCCGGAUCGGAGUCUGCAACUCGACUCCGUGAAGUCGGAAUCGCUAGUAAUCGUGGAUCAGAAUGCCACGGUGAAUACGUUCCCGGGCCUUGUACACACCGCCCGUCACACCAUGGGAGUGGGUUGCAAAAGAAGUNNNUAGCUUANCCUUCGGGAGGGNGCUUACCACU
rnacentral:rRNA from 1 species